rnacentral:rRNA from 1 species
GACGAACGCUGGCGGCGUGCUUAACACAUGCAAGUCGAACGGUGAAGGGAGCUUGCUCCCGGAUCAGUGGCGAACGGGUGAGUAACACGUGAGCAACCUACCCUUGACUCUGGGAUAACAGUUGGAAACAGCUGCUAAUACCGGAUACGACCCUGGUGGACAUCCACCGGGGUGGAAAGCUCCGACGGUCAAGGAUGGGCUCGCGGCCUAUCAGCUUGUUGGUGAGGUAACGGCUCACCAAGGCGACGACGGGUAGCCGGCCUGAGAGGGCGACCGGCCACACUGGGACUGAGAUACGGCCCAGACUCCUACGGGAGGCAGCAGUGGGGAAUAUUGCGCAAUGGGCGAAAGCCUGACGCAGCAACGCCGCGUGCGGGAUGACGGCCUUCGGGUUGUAAACCGCUUUCAGCAGGGACGAAGCAACACGUGACGGUACCUGCAGAAGAAGCACCGGCUAACUACGUG